AUUGAACGCUGGCGGAAUGCUUUACACAUGCAAGUCGAACGGCAGCACGGACUUCGGUCUGGUGGUGAGUGGCGAACGGGUGAGUAAUGUAUCGGAACGUGCCCAGUCGUGGGGGAUAACGUAGUGAAAAUUACGCUAAUACCGCAUACGAUCUAUGGAUGAAAGCGGGGGAACGCAAGACCUCGCGCGAUUGGAGCGGCCGAUAUCAGAUUAGGUAGUUGGUGGGGUAAAGGCCCACCAAGCCAACGAUCUGUAGCUGGUCUGAGAGGACGACCAGCCACACUGGAACUGAGACACGGUCCAGACUCCUACGGGAGGCAGCAGUGGGGAAUUUUGGACAAUGGGCGAAAGCCUGAUCCAGCCAUUCCGCGUGCAGGAUGAAGGCCCUCGGGUUGUAAACUGCUUUUGUACAGAACGAAAAGGUUUCUACUAAUACUAGGAGCUCAUGACGGUACUGUAAGAAUAAGCACCGGCUAACUACGUGCCAGCCGCCGCUGUAA
rnacentral:rRNA from 1 species